rnacentral:pre_miRNA from 1 species
UGUAAACAUCCCCGACUGGAAGCUGUGACUCUGCCGAGCUUUCAGUCUGAUGUUUGCUCC